UACGUAAGGGUGCAAGCGUUGUCCGGAAUUAUUGGGCGUAAAGAGCUCGUAGGCGGUUUGUUGCGUCGGCUGUGAAAACCUGAGGCUCAACCUCAGGCCUGCAGUCGAUACGAGCAGACUAGAGUGUUGCAGGGGAGACUGGAAUUCCUGGUGUAGCGGUGAAAUGCGCAGAUAUCAGGAGGAACACCGGUGGCGAAGGCGGGUCUCUGGGCAACAACUGACGCUGAGGAGCGAAAGCGUGGGGAGCGAACAGG
rnacentral:rRNA from 1 species